rnacentral:rRNA from 1 species
UAGGGAAUCUUCCACAAUGGACGCAAGUCUGAUGGAGCAACGCCGCGUGAGUGAAGAAGGUCUUCGGAUCGUAAAGCUCUGUUGUUGGUGAAGAAGGAUAGAGGCAGUAACUGGUCUUUAUUUGACGGUAAUCAACCAGAAAGUCACGGCUAACUACGUGCCAGCAGCCGCGGUAAUACGUAGGUGGCAAGCGUUGUCCGGAUUUAUUGGGCGUAAAGCGAGCGCAGGCGGAAUGAUAAGUCUGAUGUGAAAGCCCACGGCUCAACCGUGGAACUGCAUCGGAAACUGUCAUUCUUGAGUGCAGAAGAGGAGAGUGGAACUCCAUGUGUAGCGGUGGAAUGCGUAGAUAUAUGGAAGAACACCAGUGGCGAAGGCGGCUCUCUGGUCUGCAACUGACGCUGAGGCUCGAAAAGCAUGGGUAGCGAACAGGAUUAGAUACCCUGGUAGUCCAUGCCGUAAACGAUGAGCGCUAGGUGUUGGGGACUUUCCGGUCCUCAGUGCCGCAGCAAACGCAUUAAGCGCUCCGCCUGGGGA